UACGGGGGGUGCGAGCGUUGUCCGGAAUUACUGGGCGUAAAGCGUGCGCAGGCGGCUAUGCAAGACAGAUGUGAAAUCCCCGGGCUUAACCUGGGAACUGCAUUUGUGACUGCAUGGCUAGAGCGCGGCAGAGGGGGAUGGAAUUCCGCGUGUAGCAGUGAAAUGCGUAGAUAUGCGGAGGAACACCGAUGGCGAAGGCAAUCCCCUGGGCCUGCACUGACGCUCAUGCACGAAAGCGUGGGGAGCAAACAGG
rnacentral:rRNA from 1 species